GACGUAGGGCGCGAGCGUUGUCCGGAUUUAUUGGGCGUAAAGAGCUCGUAGGCGGCUUGUCGCGUCGGCUGUCGAAAACCCGCGGCUCAACUGUGGGCGGGGCAGCUGAUACGGGCAGGCUGGAGUUCGGUAGGGGGAGACUGGAAUUCCUGGUGUAGCGGUGAAAUGCGCAGAUAUCAGGAGGAACACCGGUGGCGAAGGCGGGUCUCUGGGCAUUACCUGACGCUGGAGGAGCGAAAGCGUGGGGAGCGAACAGG
rnacentral:rRNA from 1 species